UACGUAGGUGGCAAGCGUUGUCCGGAUUUACUGGGCGUAAAGAGCGCGCAGGCGGUCGUUCAAGUCGCGUGUGAAAGCCCCCGGCUCAACUGGGGAGGGUCACGCGAUACUGAUCGACUGGAAGGCAGGAGAGGGUAGUGGAAUUCCCGGUGUAGUGGUGAAAUUCGUAGAUAUUCGCAAGAACACCAGUGGCGAAGGCGGCUCACUGGUCCGGUACUGACGCUGAGGUGCGAAAGCGUGGGGAGCAAACAGGG
rnacentral:rRNA from 1 species